GGUUGUCUUGGCAGAGUAGUGCGUUAGAUUUAGAAUCUUUUUAUGUAAAUUUUACAGAUAAUA
rnacentral:tRNA from 1 species